UCCCCUUAAACAAAAAUUAAAGCUACUCAAAUUUUGUUUAUCCCUCAUUUGUUAGCUUCCUCGCAAAUUAGAUCCUUGACAGAAGUCAGGCGGUUGCCGAUCCAAGUAAUGCCGCUGACCCUUGAGACGGAUACGGCGAAGCGCCCUCUCGACAUACCAUUGGCAUCGGGGGAGCCCUCAAAGGUUGCAAAAAUUUAUGAAGGCGGAGAAGACGCUGAAGGCUCGGAUAAGGAGGCGCAGCAGCACGAGUUGCUGGAACAGGGAACUCACGGAAUGAGCCAGAACCCUAGGUUGCAGAGAUACCUCGUUGCUGUCGAGUAUAUUGGAACCAGGUUCUUUGGAUCGCAGAAGCAACCAAACUGCCGAACUGUUGCUGGCGUCCUUGAGGAGGCUUUUAUUAAAUUUGUUGGCCAUCCAGUUUCAGUUGUUCUGUCUAGUCGAACGGAUACUGGUGUGCAUGCUUUAUCAAAUGUUUUCCAUGUGGAUGUAGAACGCAUAAGUAAAAGGAGGCCUAAUGAAGUGGAUUUCAAGAUGGGAGAGGAAGAGCCUUGAAGAAGGGGAAGCGAUAAAUUUCAUACAUCAAACAUUCAAGUAAGUUUAAGUAAAUCAAAAUGAGUAGAAGAGGUGGAAACGUAUAUUGUAGGAGAGGCGCUCUUGAAGAAAGUUACCACCACAUGAACCUGGAGUUGUCAGACGGGCUGUAAACCAUUUCUUACAG